rnacentral:rRNA from 1 species
AUGGUUGCAGACUUGGCAAACAGACUCAGUUACCUUACCCUACCAGUGAGUCGGUAUCUCAGCGUCCUUGCUCCCUUUGAUUCGAAAGGUGGUCAUCGCUAUUAUGUUUUGUUCAUUGAUGAUUUCUCUUGCUACACUUGGCUCUACUUCAUGAAAUCUCAUAGCGAGGUUCUCCCUAUAUACAAACGAUUUGCUGCCAUGGUUCACACCCAGUUUUCCACGCCCAUUCGUACCUUUCAUGCUGACUCUGCUGACGAGUAUAUCUCUCAGCUGUUGCGUGGUUUUCUCGCGGAACAGGGUACUCUUGCCCAGUUCUCUUGUCCUGGUGCUCAUGCUCAGAAUGGCGUUGCCGAACAUAAGCAUCGUCAUUUGCUUGAGACGGCUCGUGCACUGAUGAUUGCUGCUUCCCUUCCACCCCAUUUUUGGGCUGAGGCUGUUUCUGCAUCCACCUGUCUCAUCAACAUUCAGCCAUCGACUGCUUUGCAGGGUGGUAUUCCUAUGGAGUGUCUCACUGGUCGCUCUCCUGACUACUCUGCUCUUCGUAUGUUUGGAUGUGUGUGCUAUGUCCUUCUUGCCCCACGAGAGCGCACCAAACUGACUGCUCAGUCGGUUGAAUGUGUUUUCCUUGGCUACAGUGAUGAGCACAAGGGCUAUCGCUCUUGGGACCCUAUUGGUCGUCGCUUGCGCAUUUCGCGUGACGUGACCUUUGACGAGUCUCGCUCUUACUACCCACGUCCUUCUUCCUCGACCUUCUCUGUGGACGAUAUUUCCUUUCUUCUCCUUCCCGAUACACCUGGCUAUGUGCCUCACGUUUCACCUCUUCCUCCUACACCUCUCAUUCAUUCUCAUUCACCACCGACACCAUCUUCUCCAUCCUCCUCCUCCACCUCUACACCACCAUCUCCCGUCCAUCACCCUCUCUCACCGUUUCAUCUCCACUAUACUCGUCGCCCUCGUACUGAGGAUGCUUCCCCUGACGGUGCACCUCCGUUCACGCCUACCCCGUUUCAUAACCUCCGUGCCCGGCCUUGCCCACCGCCUGAUCGCUAUUCUCCUGAUCGGUACGGUCUCUCUGUUAUUGCUGAGCCCACUUCCUAUCGUACUGCCAUGACUCAGCCUGAAUGGCAGCUUGCGAUGGCCGAAGAGCUUGCUGCCCUUGAGCGCUCUGGCACAUGGGAUCUGGUUUCCCUCCCUUCCUGUGUUCGUCCCAUUACCUGCAAGUGGGUCUACAAGAUCAAGACUCGCUCCGAUGGUUCUCUUGAGCGUUACAAAGCCCGUCUUGUGGCCCGUGGCUUUCAGCAGGAGCAGGGACGCGAUUAUGAUGAGACAUUCACUCCUGUGGCCCAUAUGACCACUGUCCGCACUCUCCUUGCUGUGGCUUCUGUUCGUCAUUGGUCCAUCUCUGAACUUGAUGUCCAGAACGCUUUCCUCAAUGGCGAGUUACGUGAGGAGGUUUAUAUGCAGCCACCACCGGGGUACUAUGCUCCUGAUGGCAUGGUCUGUAGACUUCGUCGCUCCCUCUAUGGUCUUAAACAGGCCCCUCGCGUCAGGUUUGAGCGUUUUGCCUCUGUGGUGACUGCCGCUGGUUUCUUGCCCAGUGAUCAUGAUCCCGCGUUGUUUGUCCACACGUCUCCUCGUGGUCGAACUCUUCUUCUUCUCUGUGUUGAUGACAUGAUCAUCACUGGUGACAACUCUGAGUACAUUGCCUUUGUUAAGGCUCGCCUUCGAGACCAGUUCCUCAUGACUGAUCUUGGUCCUCUUCGCUAUUUUCUUGGGAUUGAGAUCUCCUCGGCCUCUGAUGGCUUCUACAUCUCCCAAGAAAAAUAUAUUCAGGAUCUUCUUGCUCGUGCUGCUCUCGGUGAUGAACGCACAGCUAUGACUCCUAUGGAGCUCAACGUUCAGCUUCAUGCCUCUGAUGGUGACCCUCUUCCUAAUCCCACUCGCUAUCGUCACCUCGUUGGCAGCCUUGUCUAUCUUGCUGUUACGCGUCCUGACAUCUCCUAUCCUGUCCACAUCCUGAGUCAGUUUGUUUCAGCCCCCACCUCUGUCCACUAUAGUCACCUUCUCCGUGUUCUACGAUAUCUUCGUGGCACGAUCUCUCAACGCCUUUUCUUAACCCGCUCCAGCUCUCUUGAGGUCCAGGCCUACUCUGAUGCUACCUGGGCUAGUGAUCCCUCUGAUCGACGCUCGCUGUCUGCUUACUGUGUCUUUCUUGGUGGCUCUCUUAUUGCCUGGAAGACAAAGAAACAGACUGCAGUUUCUCGCUCGAGUACAGAGGCUGAGUUGCGAGCCAUGGCUAUGUUGACGGCUGAGGUGAUCUGGUUACGGUGGUUGCUUGAGGAUUUUGGUGUGUCUGCUACUACCUACACUCCCCUACUGUCUGACAGUACCGGUGCUAUCAGUAUUGCGCAUGACCCUGUGAAGCAUGAGCUCACCAAGCACAUCGGUGUGGAUGCCCACUUUGUGCGUGCUGCUGUGCAGGAUCAGACUCUCGCUCUUCACUAUGUGCCCUCUGAGUUACAGUUGGCUGACUUCUUCACGAAGGCACAGACUCGAGCACAACAUGGUUUUUUCCUCUCCAAACUCAGUGUUGUUGAUCCACCAUGA